GUACGAACGCGUGGCGGCGCGCCUAACACAUGCAAGUCGAACGGAGUUGUGUUGAAAGCGUUGCUGGAUAUACAACUUAGUGGCGGACGGGUGAGUAACACGUGAGUAACCUACCUAUAAGACUGGAAUAACUUCGGGAAACCGGAGCUAAUGCCGGAAAACAUUUGGAACCGCAUGGUUCUAAAGUAAAAGAUGGUUUUGCUAUCACUUAUAGAUGGACCCGCGCCGUAUUAGCUAGUUGGUGAGGUAACGGCUUACCAAGGCAACGAUACGUAGCCGACCUGAGAGGGUGAUCGGCCACACUGGAACUGAGACACGGUCCAG
rnacentral:rRNA from 1 species